CCCAGACUCCUACGGGAGGCAGCAGUGAGGAAUAUUGGUCAAUGGGCGAGGGCCUGAACCAGCCAAGUCGCGUGAAGGAUGACGGCCCUACGGGUUGUAAACUUCUUUUGUCAGGGAGCAAUUGGGUCCACGCGUGGGCUUAGCGAGAGUACCUGAAGAAAAAGCAUCGGCUAACUCCGUGCCAGCAGCCGCGGUAAUACGGAGGAUGCGAGCGUUAUCCGGAUUUAUUGGGUUUAAAGGGUGCGCAGGCGGAUUUUUAAGUCAGCGGUCAAAUCGUGGGGCUCAACCCCAUCCAGCCGUUGAAACUGGGGAUCUAGAGUGUGCGAGAGGUAUGCGGAAUGCGUGGUGUAGCGGUGAAAUGCAUAGAUAUCACGCAGAACCCCGAUUGCGAAGGCAGCAUACCGGUGCACAACUGACGCUCAGGCACGAAAGCGUGGGUAUCGAACAGGAUUAGAUACCCCAGUAAG
rnacentral:rRNA from 1 species